CUCCUUUCUCCUUUCUCCUUUCUCCUUUUUCUUUCUUUUUCUUUUUCUAUUAUACCACACAAAUUUCUUGCACUGUCAAACAGCAAACAAAAGGGAACAUUUACAACUUAUAACUCUGCAGCCAGGGCACAUAAUCUGAGCCCAGAGCACUUGGAGGGACUGAAUAGGAGAUAUGACAGUGUUGUGUAAAGAAUGUGAUACCUCACUGUAGCACCUCACUUUCCCAGGAAUUACUUCCUUAUGUUGUGUGAAAGCCUUGAAGUGAACACUGGGUGCUAUGGUGCCUGUUAUCCCAUAAACAGCUCUCUUCCUUCCACACAGGUCUGAUCCAAGAUUUCUGAAUGGUGUUGGAGGAACCAUGCUUCUGGAAAUUAUUUGAGAAAUGAAGCUGUGAUUUCUCAUUGUAUUUGCAUUGUCACCAGUAAAGAAAACGUUAUGAAGGACUGGGAUGGGAAUGGGAUGUUAUGAUGGAAUGGGGAGAGCAGUCUGCCAUUUUUUUUUCUCUCUCUCCCAGUGGUGCCAUUUUUUUGAGGCUAACAACAGGAAGGUAGUAAGAAUCUAUUUCAGUCACCUGAAGUCAGCAGAUGUGACAAUUCACUGAGCGAGCAGAGCGUCUGUGUGAGAAGGUGCUGCAUUCGCAGUCAGUUUUCAGUGCAGAACUUUGCUGGAAUUUCUCACUCCCAGGAAGAGAUGACUGUUUUGAGGAAAGGCACGUGUUUUCUCCCCCAGGAGCAAGAGCUGUCCAGAUAGAGGAAGGUGCUGCUGUACCUCGAUAAUGAGCCUAAUGGCAAAGCCUUGUGAACAUGAGAUAAAUGUGUUGUGAAUGUAUGGACAUGACUGGAGCUGAGAAACGGCUCAUUCAGCUUCUUUUUCUGUGCUAAAAACAGUGUAAAACUCUUCCUCUGUCCUGGAGAAUAACUGGUGCUCUUCUCAAAGACAACUCCAGCUGAACUUAAUGUGCCGUGUCUCAAUGAAGAGAUAAAAUGAAAGAUGCGGCUGAGAAGACAACCAGCAAAACCUUCAGCUUGAAAGAAAAGCAGAAGUCUACACUGAGUACGCCCCACUGCUGCUUCAUUAACAAACAUUAACAAAUACGCUUUAUUUACUGUUAUUCUACAUUAUUGAGAGCUCACUGGUGCAGCAGCCCUGUUCAAAUUAACUGUGGAGUUCUCAGAACUAAAAGAAAUACCUUUUGAAAGGAAGCUGAGGCCAACGUGCUGCUUACAACUCGACACCACUUCAGCCCAAAUUUCAAGUCAAAUAUCCACUCAGCAGGAGAUAUAUUCAUUUUAAAUUAAACAUGCCAGGAAUUGGACUUCAAAGGGAACAAGAUGAAUUUGUUGUUUCCACAGUGGAAAUCCCUCUGUCUCCAUCGGUGAAUGUUGGCUCUGUGUUUUUCCUACUGAAAUUAAUUGCUAUCCAUGCUAAACUAGGGCAAUUAGGGCCUGAAAGCUGCUGCGCAGUGGGACUUUAGUGGGGGAAUGAGGAUGGAGACAGGGGAAAAAAGGAAAAAAGGGUGACCAGCAGUAAGCCAGCCUUUAUCAGGCACGGAGAAACAACAGGGCCAGGAGAGAGCUCAGGAAAAGGAGGUCUGGUCUGGGUCUUUUAUUAUUUAUUUCUUGCUAUAGUUGCAGAACACAGGAAAUCACUUACAUUUUAAAUUAAACCUUUGUUUGCCCUUUAUGUGAUCUUGAGAUGUGUGAGAAGGAAGUGUGAAUGUAUUAGUAAAAAAUAAAUUGAUUUGCACCACAGAGUAAGCUUUCAUAAAUAAAGAGCUGUGUUUUGCUUGUCUUA